AUUGAACGCUGGCGGCAGGCCUAACACAUGCAAGUCGAGCGGAUGAAGGGAGCUUGCUCCUGGAUUCAGCGGCGGACGGGUGAGUAAUGCCUAGGAAUCUGCCUGGUAGUGGGGGAUAACGUCCGGAAACGGGCGCUAAUACCGCAUACGUCCUGAGGGAGAAAGUGGGGGAUCUUCGGACCUCACGCUAUCAGAUGAGCCUAGGUCGGAUUAGCUAGUUGGUGGGGUAAAGGCCUACCAAGGCGACGAUCCGUAACUGGUCUGAGAGGAUGAUCAGUCACACUGGGACUGAGACACGGCCCAGACUCCUGCGGGAGGCAGCAGUGGGUAAUAUUGGACAAUGGGCGGAAGCCUGAACCAGCAAUGCCGCGUGAGUGAUGAAGGCCUUAGGGUUGUAAAGCUCUUUUACCCGGGAUUAUAAUGACAUUACCGGGAGAAUAAGCACCGGCUAACUCCGUG
rnacentral:rRNA from 1 species